CUCUCUCUCUCUCGCUCUCUCUCUUUCACUCGUAAAAUCUCUCCUGCUUGUGAGAGGGGGGAGGGUGUAGCGGGAAGGAGAGCGCAUGCGCGGCUAGGAGCAGCUCCCGCCCAGUGGCCGCGGGCCCAUGGACUGUGUGCUUCGUGGUGUGUGUGCGCGAAAGUCAGUAUCUCUGCUGCGUGUUCAGUAGUGUGGCCCACUCACUUACACUCUGGGAUAUUUAGACGAAUUGUCAACGUGAAGAUGUCGGAUCAAGAGGCCGGAGCGAAGGAAGUAAAGGAGGUGAAGGAAGUAAAGGAGGUGAAGGACGUAAAGGAGACGAAGGAAGCGAAGGAAACGGAGCA
rnacentral:misc_RNA from 1 species